GCCGGGCGUGGUGGUACACGCCUGUAAUCCCAGCUACUUGGGAGGCUGAGGCAGGAGAAUCGCUUGAACCCGGGAGGCAGAGGUUGCAGUGAGCUGAGAUUGCGCCACUGCACCACUGCACUCCAGCCUGGGUGACAGAGCAAGACUCUGUCUCAA
rfam:Pan troglodytes isolate Yerkes chimp pedigree #C0471 (Clint) chromosome 16, whole genome shotgun sequence.